UACGAAGGGGGCUAGCGUUGCUCGGAAUCACUGGGCGUAAAGGGUGCGUAGGCGGGUCUUUAAGUCAGGGGUGAAAUCCUGGAGCUCAACUCCAGAACUGCCUUUGAUACUGGCAACCUUGAGUCCGGGAGAGGUGAGUGGAACUGCGAGUGUAGAGGUGAAAUUCGUAGAUAUUCGCAAGAACACCAGUGGCGAAGGCGGCUCACUGGCCCGGUACUGACGCUGAGGUGCGAAAGCGUGGGGAGCAAACAGGG
rnacentral:rRNA from 1 species